rnacentral:lncRNA from 1 species
AGACCCGCUGCCGGGCCGGGGCUGGGCCGGAGCGGCGGCGCCUGGAUGCCGGCCCGGGGCUGGGCCGGAGACUGGCGCCCGCCCCGAAGCGACUUUCGGUCCCCGACCCGCUCCGCCUGACCCCUAUGAUGAAGAGGGCGUCCACUGGAGAACAUCAUCCACUCGGGCAGUGCCCUCCUGGCCCCGGCCACCAGGGCAGCGUGGGAGCAGAUCCAGCGGAGCGAGGGUGGCACGGCACAGCUGCUCCGGCGCCUCGAGGGCUACUUCAGCAAUGUGGCACGCAACGUGCAGUGGACGUACCUGCAGCCCUUUGUCAUCGUCACCACCAACAUGAUUCUUGCUGUCGACAUCUUUGACAAGUUCAACUUCACGGGAGCCAGAGUCCCAUGGUUCGACGCCAUUCAUGAAGAAUUCCCCAGGGAGCUGGAGUCCUCCAUCUCCUUCCCAGCCAACUUCUUCAAACCACCUGAAGAAAAAGAAGGCCCCCUGGUAAGGCCAGCCAGCCGGAGGACCACCCCGCAGACCACACGCCCAGGGCCUGGCACCGAGGGGGAGGCCCCGAUCAGCAGGUGAAAGCGACACCCUGAUGACACUGGCUAGUUCACCUUCACUCUGGUCAUCGUUUACUGUACCCCGGGGCAG